rnacentral:rRNA from 1 species
UACGGAGGGUGCAAGCGUUAUCCGGAUUCACUGGGUUUAAAGGGUGCGCAGGCGGUUUUGUAAGCCAGAUGUGAAAUCCCCGGGCUCAACCUGGGAAUGGCAUUUGGGACUGCAAGGCUUGAGUGCGGCAGAGGAGACUGGAAUUCCUGGUGUAGCAGUGAAAUGCGUAGAUAUCAGGAGGAAUACCGAUGGCGAAGGCAGGUCUCUGGGCUGACACUGACGCUCAUGCACGAAAGCGUGGGGAGCAAACAGG